rnacentral:rRNA from 1 species
UACAGAGGUCUCAAGCGUUGUUCGGAUUCAUUGGGCGUAAAGGGUGCGUAGGUGGCGCGUUAAGUCGGGUGUGAAAUCUCGGAGCUUAACUCCGAAACUGCAUUCGAUACUGCCGUGCUUGAGGACUGGAGAGGAGACUGGAAUUUACGGUGUAGCGGUGAAAUGCGUAGAUAUCGUAAGGAAGACCAGUGGCGAAGGCGGGUCUCUGGACAGUUCCUGACGCUGAGGCA